rnacentral:ncRNA from 2 species
UGAGGUAGUAGGUUGUAUAGCU